CCUACGGGUGGCAGCAGUGAGGAAUAUUGGUCAAUGGACGAGAGUCUGAACCAGCCAAGUAGCGUGAAGGAUGAAUGCCCUAUGGGUUGUAAACUUCUUUUAUAUGGGAAUAAAAUGUUCCACGUGUGGGAUUUUGUAUGUACCAUAUGAAUAAGGAUCGUCUAACUCCGUGCCAGCAGCCGCGGUAAUACGGAGGAUCCGCGCGUUAUCCGGAUUGAUUGGGUUUAAAGGGAGCGUAGGUGGAUGGUUAAGUCAGGUGUGAAAGUUUGCGGCUCAACCGUAACAUUGCAGUUGAAACUGGCAGUCGUGAGUACAGUAGAGGUGAGCGGAAUUCGUGGUGUAGCGGUGAAAUGCUUAGAUAUCACGAAGAACACCGAUUGCGAAGGCAGUUCACUGGACUGCAACUGACACUGAGGCUCGAAAGUGUGGGUAUCAAACAGGAUUAGAUACCCGAGUAGUC
rnacentral:rRNA from 1 species